AGCUCCAGUAGCGUAUAUUAAAGUUGUUGCAGUUAAAAAGCUCGUAGUUGGAUUUCUGGUAAGACAAGUCUGACCCGCCGGCAAUAGUCGCGUGUGUGAUCGGUUCGUGUCUACCAUCCUUGUGGAAAGCGUUACUACCCUUCUGGGGCCGGUUUCGUGAUCUACAUCUUUUACUUUGAAGAAAUUAGAGUGUUCAAAGCAGGCUCGCGCUAUGAAUACAUUAGCAUGGAAUAAUAAUUUAGGACUUGGGUUCUAUUUUGUUGGUUUCUAGGACCGAAGUAAUGAUUGAUAGGGAUAGUUGGGGGUGCUAGUAUUCAGCGGCCAGAGGUGAAAUUCUUGGAUUCGCUGAAGACUAACUUAUGCGAAAGCAUUCACCAAGGAUGUCUUCUUUA
rnacentral:rRNA from 1 species